GAUGAACGCUGGCGGCGUGCCUAAUACAUGCAAGUCGAGCGAAUGGAUUAAGAGCUUGCUCUUAUGAAGUUAGCGGCGGACGGGUGAGUAACACGUGGGUAACCUGCCCAUAAGACUGGGAUAACUCCGGGAAACCGGGGCUAAUACCGGAUAACAUUUUGAACCGCAUGGUUCGAAAUUGAAAGGCGGCUUCGGCUGUCACUUAUGGAUGGACACGCGUCGCAUUCUCUAGUUGGUGAGGUAACGGCUCACCAAGGCAACGAUGCGUAGCCGAACGGGGAGGGUGAUCGGCAACACUGGGAAUGAGACACGACCCAGACUCCUACGGGAGGCAGCAGUAGGGAAACUUACGAAAUGGACGAAAGUCGGACGGAGCAACGCCGCGUGGGGGAUGAAGGCUUUCGGGUCGUAAAACUCUGUUGUUAGGGAAGAACAAGUGCUAGUUGAAUAAGCUGACACCUUGACGGUACCUAACCAGAAAGCCACGGCUAACUACGUGCCAGCAGCCGCCGUAA
rnacentral:rRNA from 1 species